UACGUAGGGUCCGAGCGUUGUCCGGAAUUACUGGGCGUAAAGAGCUCGUAGGUGGUUUGUCGCGUUGUUCGUGAAAACUCACAGCUCAACUGUGGGCGUGCGGGCGAUACGGGCAGACUAGAGUACUGCAGGGGAGACUGGAAUUCCUGGUGUAGCGGUGGAAUGCGCAGAUAUCAGGAGGAACACCGACGGCGAAGGCGGGUCUCUGGGCCGAUACUGACGCUGAGGAGCGAAAGCGUGGGGGAGCGAACAGG
rnacentral:rRNA from 1 species